GACAGGGGAUGCGAGCGUUAUCCGGAGUUAUUGGGCGUAAAGGGUACGUAGGCGGCUGGUCAAGUCUGGGGUUAAAGACCACAGCUUAACUGAGGGGGGGCCUUGGAAACUGACCGGCUGGAGUGGGGCAGGGGUUGCGGGAAUUCCCGGUGUAGCGGUGAAAUGCGUAGAUAUCGGGAAGAACACCUGAGGCGAAAGCGCGCAACUGGGCCCUAACUGACGCUGAGGUACGAAAGCUAGGGGAGCGAAUGGG
rnacentral:rRNA from 1 species